rnacentral:rRNA from 1 species
CUCAUUAAAAGAGUGCGUAAUAGCUCACUGGUCGAGUGACUCUGCGCCGAAAAUUCAACGGGGCUAAAAUUCAUACCGAAGCUUGGGCUUGACAGAAAUGUCAGGGGUAGGGGAGCGUCGUAUACGAGGUGAAGUCAUAGCGGAAGCGGUGGUGGAUUGUAUACGAGUGAGAAUGCCGGAAUGAGUAGCGAGAAUUAUGUGAGAAUCAUAAUGGCCGAAAGUCUAAGGUUUCCUGAGGAAGGUUCGUCCUCUCAGGGUUAGCCGGGAGCUAAGGUGAGGCGGAAACGCGUAGCCGAUGCACAUACGGUAGAAAUUCCGUAGCCUCCGAAGAUUUAAGCACAGGGACACUUUUGAAGGGCUGAGCCGGGCGUUGGUUGCCCCGGUCGAAAGGGACACGAUUGAGUGGAAGUCAGUUUGGAAAGAGGCGAGAAAAGCUGUGUGUAUAUGAAAGGAGCCCGUACCGCAAACCGACACAGGUAGACAGGAAGAAGAUUCUAAGGCCAGCGGGAGAAGGGUUGUUAAGGAACUCGGCAAGUUGACCCCGUAACUUCGGGAGAAGGGGUGCUUACGAAGGUAAGCCGCAGAGAAUAGGCCCAAGCGACUGUUUAGCAAAAACACAGCUCUAUGCUAAAUCGAAAGAUGACGUAUAUGGGGUGACACCUGCCCGGUGCUGGAAGGUUAAGAGGAGAUGUGAGAGCAUUGAAUUGAAGCCCCAGUAAACGGCGGCCGUAACUAUAACGGUCCUAAGGUAGCGAAAUUCCUUGUCAGGUAAGUUCUGACCCGCACGAAUGGUGUAACGAUUUGGGCACUGUCUCAACAACCCACCCGGCGAAAUUGUAGUACCGGUGAAGAUGCCGGUUACCCGCGACUAGACGGAAAGACCCCAUGGAGCUUCACUGCAGCUUAAUAUUGGAUUUCGGUAUUUCAUGUACAGGAUAGGUGGGAGACUGGGAAAUACAGGCGUCAGCUUGUAUGGAGUCAUUGUUGGGAUACCACUCUUGAGGUGCUGGAAUUCUAACCUGUGGCCUUGAAUCAGGUCAGGGGACAUUGUUAGGCGGGCAGUUUGACUGGGGCGGUCGCCUCCUAAAAGGUAACGGAGGCGCUCAAAGGUUCGCUCAGCAUGGACGGAAACCAUGCCAAAGAGUGUAAACGCAUAAGCGAGCCUAACUGCGAGACUGACGGGUCGAGCAGUAACGAAAGUUGGAGUUAGUGAUCCGGCGGUAUGUGAGUGGAAAUGCCGUCGCUCAACGGAUAAAAGCUACCCUGGGGAUAACAGGCUGAUCUCCCCCAAGAGUCCACAUCGACGGGGAGGUUUGGCACCUCGAUGUCGGCUCAUCGCAUCCUGGGGCUGUAUUCGGUCCCAAGGGUUUGGCUGUUCGCCAAUUAAAGCGGUACGCGAGCUGGGUUCAGAACGUCGUGAGACAGUUCGGUCCCUAUCUGUCGUGGGCGUUGGAGAUUUGAAAGGAGCUGUCCCUAGUACGAGAGGACCGGGAUGGACGCACCUCUGGUGCACCAGUUGUCACGCCAGUGGCACAGCUGGGCAGCUAUGUGCGGAACGGAUAAACGCUGAAAGCAUCUAAGCGUGAAGCCGCCCUUAAGAUAAGAUCUCCUUUAAGACCCCUUGUAGACUACGAGGUUGAUAGGUCUGAUGUGUAAGCACGGUGACGUGUUUAGCUUGCAGAUACUAAUCGGUCGUUCGCUUUUCCU